rnacentral:RNase_P_RNA from 1 species
CAGGUACAACAUGUGGCAGCUUGAUCGCAAGGUCAAGAGGAAAGUCCGGGCUGCCGUAAGACAGGGUUCCAUCUAACGGAUGGCCGGCGCAAGUCGAGGGAUAGUGCAACAGAGAGUAGACCGCCACCUGUAAUGUUGAAUUGUAAAUGUUGAAUUUUGAAUGAAAAGCAAUAUUUGUGAUUCACUUUGAAUAUGCUGGCAAAGUAUAUAUGAAAAUGCCGAAAGCAUUUUUGUACUUUAGUGGCCAUAGCGGCCUCAGCGCAGGAAGCAGGGGCUUUUGCUCCUGUUCCGUUCAAACAGGUGGUAAGGGUGAAACGGCGGGGUAAGAGCCCACCAGUUCCUUGAGUAAUCUUGGAAGCUAUGUAAACCCAACCUGGCAGCAAGAAACAGAUGGUUAGCGUCUUACAUUGCUAUUGUUUCGCUGGAGCUAUAUAGUAAUAUAUAGAGUAGAUUAAUUGCCACGUCAACAAAACCCGGCUUAUUGUUGUACCUACUUU